AUUGAACGCUGGCGGCAUGCUUUACACAUGCAAGUCGAACGGCAGCGCGGGCUUCGGCCUGGCGGCGAGUGGCGAACGGGUGAGUAAUACAUCGGAAUGUGCCCAGUAGUGGGGGAUAGCUCGGCGAAAGCCGGAUUAAUACCGCAUACGACCUGAGGGUGAAAGCGGGGGAUCUUCGGACCUCGCGCUAUUGGAGCGGCCGAUGGCAGAUUAGCUAGUUGGUGGGGUAAAGGCCUACCAAGGCGACGAUCUGUAGCUGGUCUGAGAGGACGACCAGCCACACUGGGACUGAGACACGGCCCAGACUCCUACGGGAGGCAGCAGUGGGGAAUUUUGGACAAUGGGCGAAAGCCUGAUCCAGCAAUGCCGCGUGUGUGAUGAAGGCCUUCGGGUUGUAAAGCACUUUUGGCGGGAACGAAAAGGACUGUGCCAAUACCACGGUUCGAUGACGGUACCCGCAGAAUAAGCACCGGCUAACUACGUG
rnacentral:rRNA from 1 species